CUUUCCUCAGUUAGCUUCAGGCCCCACUGAGGAGAAGUGUGAAGUUAGAAAGCUGAUGAAGCCAUUUCCUGCUUUAAUUAUUAUAUUCUGUUUUGCACAGGUAUGUGGGUAUUCUUUUUGUAUUUUGUAACUGUAAAUUGUAUUGUUUGUUAUGUAAGUGUAAAUUAAUGGUUAUAUUUGUGUAUAUUGGUUUACAAGGAAAAACUGGUUUGCCACCAUGGAUAGAUGUAUAUCUGUUAAUUGUAUUAUUUAGAACUCUGUAUACUUUCCUGAGUUAGCUUCAGGCCCCACUGAGGAGAAGUGUGAAGUUAGAAAGCUGAUGAAGCCAUUUCCUGCUUUAAUUAUUAUAUUCUGUUUUGCACAGAGAAUAAAUCCUGGUUGGCAAGAAAGAA